AGAGAGUACAGCUCAGUGGCAGAGUGCAUGCUUAGCAUGCAUGAGGUCCUGGGUUCAAUCUCCAGUAUCUCUA
rnacentral:tRNA from 1 species